rnacentral:rRNA from 1 species
AUGGAUACUACAGCAAGCAACGCCGCCCUGGUUAUAGAAUUCCACAACAUAGUGAAUGAUGCUGCUGCCCCGCGUUCUCCCUCGCCGGAUCCAGAAGCUGAACUUAUGAAGCGCCAUUUCUCUGGAGAAGAAGCCGUAGGGCAAUUCCCCCUAACCGCGAGCCCAUCCAUUCUCCUCCAUGUGCUCUCAUCCUCUGACCUGGAUCCUAAAGAUCUUGCUGCUUUGGAGGCAAGUUGUACAAUUGCAUUCUUAGCUACAUGUAAAUUCUUCAGAAACCCCGCAAAGUUCCCACCAGACUUGGAAUUAUCACUUCCAGAACUUGCAGCAUUCGACAUGUGCCAGCAUAGGCCCAUGUUUAACCUAAUGAAACCGGAAGAGAAGGAGUGGCUGAAGCAACGGUGCGGGGGCUCUUGGAAGCUUGUUCUUGGAUACAUUUUGGUCGGCGAGAAGAAUUGCCGCUGCGGGAAAUCUCAGGUCAAUGCUGGACCAGGCCACAGCAUUGUGGUCACCGCAAGUGGGGCCGUAUACUCAUUUGGCAUGAAUUCCUCGGGCCAGCUUGGCCUUGGGGACACAGAAGACAAGUUCAAGCCAUGCCUUAUCAGGUCUCUGCAAGGCACCAGGAUCACGCAUGCCGCGGUUGGAUCGAGUCGAACAAUGCUUGUGAGGGACACGGGAAGUGUCUACGUAUUUGGAAUCGACACCUUUGGGGGCUAUAGCUUGAAUGGAAUGCCUGCUACUGACUACGUUAACAGUCCCAAGGUAGUGGAGUCACUGAAGGGCAUCUUUGUAGUGCAAGCAACUAUAGGAGGCUUCUUCUCGGCGGUUCUGUCCAGAGAGGGUCGGGUUUAUACUUUCUCCUGGGGCCACGAGGAGAGGCUAGGCCAUAAUACAGAUUCCGCCGAUGUCGAGCCUCGUCUUCUCUCUGGGCCUCUUGAGAAUGUACCUGUUGCGCAGAUUGCUGCCGGCAAUUGUUACCUCCUUGUGUUAGCCUACCAGCCCACCGGAAUGUCGGUGUACUCUGUGGGCUGUGGUCAAGGAGGCAAGCUUGGGCAUGGGGACAAGAACAGCGAGGGCGUCCCUCAGCUGAUAUCACACUUCGAGGGAAUCAACGCAAGGCCAGUGUCAAUCUCAGCCGGUGCUUGGCACGCAGCGGUCCUGAGCAGCGACGGCCGCGUGCUCACCUGGGGAUGGGGUUUCCAAGGCUGCCUAGGACAUGGAUACGCCGAAGAAUGCGCGACCCUCCCGAUGGCGGUGGAAAUCUCCAAUGCUGUCCACGUUUCAGCUGGCCAGUACUGCACCUUUGUCAUGACGGAUAAUGGUGAUGUCUACUCCUUUGGGUGGAAGGGAGCCUACAACCUAGGCUUGCAGGACGAGGACGAGGAGGAGAAUCAGGGUGUCCUGUCUCCCAAGUUGGUCGCCUCACUCACCGGGCUAAACGAAAGGUUUGUGCAGAUCAGCCCGACGAAUGCCUAUGAUUGGCACAACAGAAGUACAGGGGUGUCUCAUACGGUUGCCCUCACCGAAUCCGGCAAGGUGUACGCGUUUGGAGGAGGUGGCUCGGGUCAGCUUGGCAUCAAGCUUGCCGAGGGCAAAGAAGCCAUGCCCCCUCUCCAGGUUGACGUCGAUCUCGCCUAG